ACAGGUGUGACACACAGCUCUAUUAAAAAAAAAAUAAAAAAAUGGAUAGCUCAUUGGCCACCAAAAAUGAAGUCGCCAUCCGCCAUCUUGAUACUCCCAAAAUAACCGUGCCGACCUGUGCAUCACCAGUUUCCUGGCUGUGAGAAAACAUUCCACAGUGAAGGUACCCAGGCUCCAUCAACCUGCAUCAUCGAAGCAAUGGAGACGUGUGGAGUGAUGAAAAACUGCUGCGAUCCAGCCACAGGAAAGAAGCACACGGGGACAACAAAAGAGGAAACGUGUCCAUUUUGUCAAAGAACCAAACAUCAUAAAGCCACUUUUUGGCUUUUGGAAAUGCAAUACCCCUGCAAAAAGAAAUGACUGUUUAGACAAAUUAUGUCUGAAGCAAAAUGUGAGAAAUUAGUUUAUCGCGACAACUGAUUCUCAUUUUAAUCGGGGUCAUUUUUGACCCCACUUGUGGACGAAUGGUUGUGCAUCCAAGGGUUAAAAUUAAGACGCAACCUGCCUUCAGGUUAGCAAAUACUUUAGCAAUCCAAAGUAUCUAGCCUGAAGGGUUAGCGUGGAAAAAAUGACCUCACUUAAGUUAUUUUUUUUGGUUCAUAUUUGUGCUUAGCUAUUUGACUAAUGGUGUUUGCUUAAGGCUCAUUUCUAGCUAUUGGUGACAAUUGUACAACCAUGACUAAACUGUUUUAAAAUAAAAAUGAAAUACUCGUGAA